rnacentral:rRNA from 1 species
UGAGGAAUAUUGGUCAAUGGGCGCAAGCCUGAACCAGCCAUCCCGCGUGCAGGAUGACGGCCCUAUGGGUUGUAAACUGCUUUUGUACAGGAAGAAAAAUCCCUACGAGUAGGGGCCUGCCGGUACUGUACGAAUAAGCACCGGCUAACUCCGUGCAAGCAGCCGCGGUAAUACGGAUGUUGCGAGCGUUAUCCGGAUUUACUGGGUUUAAAGGGUGCGUAGGUGGGCUUAUAAGUCAGUGGUGAAAUCUCCGAGCUUAACUUGGAAACUGCCGUGUAUACUAUAGGUCUUGAAUUAUCUGGAGGUAAGCGGAAUAUGUCAUGUAGCGGUGAAAUGCUUAGAUAUGACAUAGAACACCAAUUGCGAAGGCAGCUUACUACAUAUAAAUUGACGCUGAGGCACGAAAGCGUGGGGAUCAAACA